GCAAGUCGAGCGCUACCUUCGGGUGGAGCGGCGGACGGGUUAGUAACGCGUGGGAAUAUACCCAGUUCUAAGGAAUAGCCUCGGGAAACUGAGAGUAAUACCUUAUAAGCCCUUCGGGGGAAAGAUUUAUCGGUGAAGGAUUGGCCCGCGUAAGAUUAGAUAGUUGGUGGGGUAAUGGCCUACCAAGUCUACGAUCUUUAGCUGGUUUUAGAGGAUGAUC
rnacentral:rRNA from 1 species